AACGAACGCUGGCGGCGUGCCUAACGCAUGCAAGUCGAGCGCGAAAAGGGCAACCUGAGUAGAGCGGCGCACGGGUGCGUAACACGUGGGUAAUCUGCCUUAGAGUCGAGGAUAACCUUCCGAAAGGUUGGCUAAUACUCGGUAAGCUUACGGUGUCUUCGGACGCUGUGGGAAAAGUAGGCCUCUGUUUACAAGCUUACGCUCUGAGAUGAGCCCGCGGCCCAUCAGCUAGUUGGCGGUGUAACGGACCACCAAGGCAACGACGGGUAGCUGGUCUGAGAGGACGAUCAGCCACACUGGAACUGCGACACGGUCCAGACUCCUACGGGAGGCAGCAGUGGGGAAUUUUCCACAAUGGGCGAAAGCCUGAUGGAGCAACGCCGCGUGUGUGAUGAAGGUUUUCGGAUCGUAAGGCACUUUCGACCGGGACGAAAAACCUCUGGCUAACAUCCAGGGGCCUGACGGCACCGGGAGAAGAAGCACCGGCUAACUCUGUGCCAGCCGCCGCGGUAA
rnacentral:rRNA from 1 species